rnacentral:rRNA from 1 species
UUAGUCGGAGAGUUUGAUUCUGGCUCAGAACGAACGCUGGCGGCGUGGAUAAGACAUGCAAGUCGAACGGGAAACAUUUGAUAGUAAUAUUGGAUGUUUCUAGUGGCGAAAGGGUGCGUAACACGUGGGUAAUCUACCGUAAAGUUGGGAAUAACUUCGAGAAAUCGAUGCUAAUACCGGAUGUGAUUUAUUUGGGACAUCCCGAAUAAAUUAAAGCUGGGGACCUUCGGGCCUGGCGCUUUACGAUGAGCCCGCGGCCUAUCAGCUUGUUGGUAAGGUAACGGCUUACCAAGGCUAAGACGGGUAGCCGGUCUGAGAGGAUGGUCGGCCACACUGGAACUGAGACACGGUCCAGACACCUACGGGUGGCAGCAGUCGAGAAUCAUUCACAAUGGGGGAAACCCUGAUGGUGCGACGCCGCGUGGGGGAUGAAGGUCUUCGGAUUGUAAACCCCUGUCAUUUGUGAACAACCGUUUAAAUUUAAUAGAUUUAAACCUGAUAGUAGCAAAAGAGGAAGGGACGGCUAACUCAGUGCCAGCAGCCGCGGUAAUACUGAGGUCCCAAGCGUUGUUCGGAUUUACUGGGCGUAAAGGGUGCGUAGGUGGCCAGGAAAGUUUGAUGUGAAAGCCCCGAGCUCAACUCGGGAAUUGCAUUGGAUACUACUUGGCUUGAGGAUCGGAGGGGAGACUGGAAUUCUCGGUGUAGCAGUGAAAUGCGUAGAUAUCGAGAGGAACACCAGUGGCGAAGGCGAGUCUCUGGACGAUUCCUGACACUGAGGCACGAAAGCUAGGGGAGCAAACAGGAUUAGAUACCCUGGUAGUCCUAGCCGUAAACGGUGCACACUUGCUGUAGGCGGAUUCGACCCCGUCUGUGGCGGAGCAAACGCGUUAAGUGUGCCGCCUGGGGAGUACGGUCGCAAGAUUAAAACUCAAAGAAAUUGACGGGGGCCUGCACAAGCGGUGGAGUAUGUGGCUUAAUUCGAUGCAACGCGAAG